ensembl:lncRNA
UGAACAGCUGGUGUUGUGGGGGUUAAUGAAAUUGUUGUGACAGCUUCUGUUGGUGUUGUGGGACCAGAUGUGGUAGAUAUUUUAGCAGGAGUGGUUGUUGUGGCAGCAACUGUUGUUGUUGCUCCAGACUCUGUUGUUGUGGGAGUAGAAGAAAUUGUUGUGACAUCAAGUGAUGUUGUUGUUGCAACAGAUGUUGUUGUGGGAUUUUCUGAAAUUGUUGUGACAGCAGCUGAUGUGGAUAUGGGACCAGAUGUGGUUGUCAUAUCAGCAGGUGUGGUUGCUGUUUCUGUAAAAACUGUUGUUCCCAACGUUGUUGUUGUUGGUAGAGCUGUUGUGGUCAUUGAGGUAACAGAUGUGGUUUCUGUUGGAGAACCUGUUGUUGUGGUAGCCCCUGUGUUGAUGGGUGUAGAUGACAUUGAUGUGAGAUCAGGUGAUGUUGUUGUUUGAACAGCUGGUGUUGUGGGGGUUAAUGAAAUUGUUGUGACAGCUUCUGUUGGUGUUGUGGGACCAGAUGUGGUAGAUAUUUUAGCAGGAGUGGUUGCUGUGGCAGCAACUGUUGUUGUUGUUUCAGACUCUGUUGUUGAGGGAGUAGCAGAAGUUGUUGUGACAUCAAGUGAUGUUGUUGUUGCAACAGAUGUUGUUGUGGGAUUUGCUGAAAUUGUUGUGACAGCAGCUGAUGUUGUUAUGGGACCAGAUGUGGUAGUCAUAUCAGCAGGUGUGGUUGCUGUUUCUGUAAAAACUGUUGUUCCCAACGUUGUUGUUGUUGGUAGAGCUGUUGUGGUCAUUGAGGUAACAGAUGUUGUUUCUGUUGGAGAACCUGUUGUUGUGGUAGCCCCUGUGUUGAUGGGUGUAGUUGACAUUGAUGUGAGAUCAGGUGAUGUUGUUGUUUGAACAGCUGGUGUUGUGGGGGUUAAUGAAAUUGUUGUGACAGCUUCUAUUGGUGUUGUGGGACCAGAUGUGGUAGAUAUUUUAGCAGGAGUGGUUGUGGUGGCAGCAACUGUUGUUGUUGCUCCAGACUCUAUUAUUGUGGGAGGAGAAGAAAUUGUUGUGACAUCAAGUGAUGUUGUUGUUGCAACAGAUGUUGUUGUGGGAUUUGCUGAAAUUGUUGUGACAGAAGCUGAUGUGAUUAUGGGACCAGAUGUGGUAGUCAUAUCAGCAGGUGUGGAUGCUGUUUCUGUAAAACCUGUUGUUCCAAACGCUGUUGUUGUUGGUAGAGCUGUUGUGGUCAUUGAGGGAACAGAUGUGG